AGUGAACGCUGGCGGUAGGCCUAACACAUGCAAGUCGAACGGCAGCACAGUAAGAGCUUGCUCUUACGGGUGGUGAGUGGCGGACGAGUGAGGAAUACAUCGGAAUCUACUUUUUCGUGGGGGAUAACGUAGGGAAACUUACGCUAAUACCGCAUACGACCUACGGGUGAAAGCAGGGGAUCUUCGGACCUUGCGCGAUUGAAUGAGCCGAUGUCGGAUUAGCUAGUUGGCGGGGUAAAGGCCCACCAAGGCGACGAUCCGUAGCUGGUCUGAGAGGAUGAUCAGCCACACUGGAACUGAGACACGGUCCAGACUCCUACGGGAGGCAGCAGUGGGGAAUAUUGGACAAUGGGCGCAAGCCUGAUCCAGCCAUACCGCGUGGGUGAAGAAGGCCUUCGGGUUGUAAAGCCCUUUUGUUGGGAAAGAAAAGCAGCAGGUUAAUACCCCGCUGUUCUGACGGUACCCAAAGAAUAAGCACCGGCUAACUUCGUG
rnacentral:rRNA from 1 species